CGACAAUGGGGAAACCCUGAUCGAGCAAUGCCGCGUGAACGAAGAAGGUCUUCGGAUUGUAAAGUUCUGUUAAUUGAGAUGAAUGGUGUGUGGAGGAAAUGCCACACAUUUGACAGUAUCAGUUUAGAAAGCCCCGGCUAACUACGUGCCAGCAGCCGCGGUAAUACGUAGGGGGCGMSCGUUAUCCGGAAUUAUUGGGCGUAAAGAGUGCGUAGGCGGUUUGUUAAGUCAUUUGUAAAAGAUCUCAGCUCAACUGAGUAAGGCGAAUGAAACUGGCAGACUUGAAUACGGUAGAGGUAAGUGGAAUUCCAUGUGUAGCGGUGGAAUGCGUAGAUAUAUGGAGGAACACCAAUGGCGAAGGCAACUUACUGGGCCGGAAUUGACGCUGAGGCACGAAAGCGUGGGGAGYAAACAGGAUUAGAUACCCUGGUAGUCCACGCCGUAAACGAUGAGAACUAAGUGUUGGGGUAAAAGUCAGUGCUGAAGUUAACGCAAUAAGUUCUCCG
rnacentral:rRNA from 1 species